rnacentral:rRNA from 1 species
GACGAACGCUGGCGGCGUGCUUAACACAUGCAAGUCGAACGGAAAGGCCCUGCUUUUGUGGGAUGCUCGAGUGGCGAACGGAUGAGUAACACGUGAGUAACCUGCCAUUGACUUUGGGAUAACUUCAGGAAACUGGGGCUAAUAACGGAUAGGAGCUCCUGCUGCAUGGUGGGGGUUGGAAAGUUUCGGCGGUUGGGGAUGGACUCGCGGCUUAUCAGCUUGUUGGGGGGGUAGUGGCUUACCAAGGCUUUGCCGGGUAGCCGGCCUGAGAGGGUGACCGGCCACAUUGGGACUGAGAUACGGCCCAGACUCCUACGGGAGGCAGCAGUGGGGAAUAUUGCACAAUGGGCGGAAGCCUGAUGCAGCAACACCGCGUGCGGGAUGACGGCCUUCGGGUUGUAAACCGCUUUCGCCGGUGACAAAGCGUGAGUGACGGUAAUGGGUAAAGAAGCACCGGCUAACUACGUG